rnacentral:lncRNA from 14 species
AUGAGCUGCCAAAAGGGUUGCCACCUGACAAAGAUCUACCUUUCAACUCCUGCCACUGUGGUGAAGGGUAUUCCCUCCAAAGCAAUAAGAAGGUUGGUGAAUGGCAUUAGCAAUUUUGCUAAUGCCCCUCUUGUGGCUCCAUAUCUGUAUUCAUAUGCAAAUGAAGGGAAUCCUCAGGGAAACCCCACCUGUUUCAACCGGGACAACAUUGAUGUGGCACAGAAUCCCAGGCACAAGGGUCUGUGCUGUGGGGAAGUGACCAAGUGCAUGACCUCAUGUGCGGACCCAAGCUGCUGUGAAGGGAUCAAGGGCAUCACUAAAUGCAAGGACUCAUGCUCAGAAGAACUGUCAAAGGACAGCACCAUUUACUUGAAUCUGGGCAAUAUUGAUGUAUCACAGACUCCCAGGAAUACGGAUCACUGCAAUGAGGAAGCGACCAAGUGCACCACCUCAUGUGCGGACCCAAGCUGUUGCGAAGGGAUCAAGGGCAUCACUAUAUGCAAAGAUUCCUGCUGUGAAGGAGUGACCAAGGGCACCACCAUUUAUUUGAACCCGGGUGAUCUUGAUUUGAUGCAGAAUCCUGGGUGUGAGGAUCCGUGCUCUGAACAAGUUGCCAAGUGCACUACAAUUUACUUGAACUUGGGUAAUAUUGAUCUAACACCGUGCGCAUUUCCGUACUGUCUGGAAGUGACCAGGUACACCAAUGCAUCUGGGGACCAAUGCUGCUGGAAAGUGACCGAGGGCACCAGCAGAAGUGAAGAUUUGUCCUGUGAAGAUGUGACCAAGGGCAAUACCAUUUACUUGAACCUGGGCAAUAUUGAUGGGUCCCAGACUCCCCAGUGUGCUGAUCCAUGCCACAAGGAAGGGACUAAGUGCCACACCAUUUUCUUGAACUUGGGUAAUAUUUGUUUGACACCAACUUCCCAGUGCACGGACCAAUGCUGUGAAGAAGUGACCAAGGGCAACACCAUUUUCUUGAACCUGGGNNNNNNNNNNNNNNNNNNNNCAGUGCUGUGGAGGCGUGACCAAUGGCAACACCAUCUUUGUGAACCUGGGUAA